GGCCUAACACAUGCAAGUCGAACGGCAGCGGGGAGAAGCUUGCUUCUCCGCCGGCGAGUGGCGCACGGGUGCGUAACGCGUAUGCAACCUACCUUCAACAGGGGGAUAGCCCAGGGAAACUUGGAUUAAUGCCCCAUGGAAACCGGACCCCGCCUGGGAUCCGGUUUAAAGUUCCGGCGGUUGGAGAUGGGCAUGCGUCCCAUUAGCUAGUAGGUGUGGUAACGGCACACCUAGGCAACGAUGGGUAGGGGCCCUGAGAGGGGGAUCCCCCACACUGGUACUGAGACACGGACCAGACUCCUACGGGAGGCAGCAGUGAGGAAUAUUGGACAAUGGGCGGAAGCCUGAUCCAGCCAUGCCGCGUGCAGGAAGACUGCCCUAUGGGUUGUAAACUGCUUUUAUACGGGAAGAAACACCCCCUCGUGAGGGGGCUUGACGGUACCGUAGGAAUAAGGAUCGGCUAACUCCGUGCCAGCAGCCGCGGUAAUACGGAGGAUCCAAGCGUUAUCCGGAAUCAUUGGGUUUAAAGGGUCCGUAGGUGGAUUAUUAAGUCAGGGGUGAAAGUCUGCGGCUCAACCGUAGAAUUGCCCUUGAUACUGGUAAUCUUGAGUCAUUGUGAAGUGGUUGGAAUAUGUGGUGUAGCGGUGAAAUGCAUAGAUAUCACAUAGAACACCGAUUGCGAAGGCAGAUCACUAACAAUGCACUGACACUGAUGGACGAAAGCGUGGGGAGCGAACAGGAUUAGAUACCCUGGUAGUCCACGCCGUAAACGAUGGUCACUAGCUGUCCGGCCCGAUCGAGGGCUGGGUGGCCAAGCGAAAGUGAUAAGUGACC
rnacentral:rRNA from 1 species